GUGGUUCUUUUUUAUCAUGUUACUUAACAAUGGUAUUAAAUAAUCUUCAUAACGUCUUAGCAGUUCGGUGAUUCCUUAAUUCAGGUUUAAUUUUUGCCGAAAUUUCUAUUUCUGUCAACGCAGAUUUACUAUUUGUUAUACUUUAGGUGUAACUGCAUUCAGGUUUUCCUUUUUAGUGAGUGACCAGCGAUUAAAACAUCUGAAGCUUGCUAUUCGACACAAGUUGUGUGUUAAUCAAGGGUUUCUACAAGUUCCGGUGUCGAACAUAGCUUCUGUACUUUGAUCAUAUUGUUUUGUUGUUAACAAUGGAAACCUCACUUAUAUGAAGUUAGACAGGAGUUGAAGCGUGGACCAUCUAUCAAAUAAGCUAUUUAUCAGCAACAUCAUGAAUGGAGCAAAGGCUGGCAUGUGCCAUUGAAUAAAGAUUUGAAUCUUCUGGUGGAUUUAUCAAGUCGCUCGCCUGUGACGUCGAUUGGACGAAUCACCCUUUGGUAAGCCAUGUGCAAUUCACAGGUCUUAUCUCAUCUCAUCUUACCUUUGUAUAUGUAAUGAUUUACUUUGAUCAUGGAUAUUUGAAUUUGAAUUUAGGUUAAUAUUUAUUUUCAGUUUUUUCAUCCAUGUGAUUCUCAAUGUUUCAGAAUGACCCAUUAGAGGCUAAAAAAAAAUGUUUUGCAGGCUUCUGGUGCAAUGAGAUCUCGUAGAGCUAGGGUUACUGAUAACAUAAGUAUCAUGUGUUUGUAGAUGACGUGAUACGUCCACAAACAACUAAGGCCAUGCCAAAUCAGCCCGAGUGCCAAUAAUUUUUGCUAUUACUAGGAUAGAUAAGGAAGGGGCUUUAGAUCGAGUAAUGCAAGUUAAGCAGGAGCUUUCUUAUAAUGGUUGUCAACUAGAAGAUUGGGGGUGGUGAUGUACCUAUGGUUCAGGUGCAGGGCAAGAUCACUUAAGUUUUUUUAUUAUUUUUAAAAUACCCUUUACAUGAUUCAUAUCAUUGUCAAUGAAAACAAAAUUGUGUGCUCUUACCAGCAAGAAUGUUGAUGAUUUGUUAGAACUCACUAUGCGUGUUGCCGAGUUAGGUAAAGUUAUUUACUGACUAUUGCAUGUAAAUUAUUUAUUUACCUUUUUUUUUUGCUUGGGGGAGAAGAGAGGGUUACUUUCAACCCAUUUGGCCCGCUUCGCAACUAUGCGGGUCAAAUUUUAUCUAAGGUAUGUAGCACAUCUUUAAUAAUAUACAACUUUAAUUACUUGAGAUACAAGUCAAUAAAGGAGUUUGCUCAAGAUUUAGGAGCAAUGGAGUUGUUGCUCGUGUAAAGGUAUUUAAGUUUAACUUCAUUUAUAUGUAUAUAUUAUUUUGAGAUUCUACAUUUGUCUUCAGUUUUCUUGAUUAUUAGCUGCAAGAAUUAAAGGCUAAUCUCGAUAGAAAUGCAAAGGUUAUCGUAAUUGAAGCAGGUCUCAUCAAUCAAAAGGACCCGUAGCUACUUUAUUUUUGUGCAAAAUGACACACUUAAAAAGGGAGAUGUGGUUGUAUGUAGUGAAGUCUUUGGAAAGGUGAUCGGAUUAAACAGUGCCCCAUUUGCGGUGACGAAUUUAAGGUAGUUGACUCACUUGAUAUUGCACGAGAAAGGGCAAAAGAACGGGCAAUAUCAUCAUGUGAUGUACGUAUACUAGCUAAAGCUGGAAUGGUAGAAUUACGCUUUUGUCCUUCGCUUCUGCUGUUACAACGGGCAUGAAUUCAAGAGCAACUGCUUUGUUUAUGUCCAUCGGGUCGAGCAACAUGUCAAAACAUGUUAGGGCUAAAAUGGGCAUUUCUUCUGUACAUCCUGAAAUGGGUUGGGUUGGUUUGACUCAAACAUGCUCUUUGCAUUAUUUUUAUUUAAGAAAUAGGUAUAGUGCCAAAUAUGAUCAUAAAACUAAAUUAAUUCAGCAAUAAUCUAAUUUUAUUGAAUCGUAGGUUUUAUUUAUUUCAAAUGACACUUUGGUGGACUUUUGAAUCUUUCACCCAUAUGAACAUUCUUUUUUAGACUAUUUUAAUUAUUUUUCCUUUCAGAGAUAAGCAUAAUCCUAUUUAACAUUUCACCCUAUUUCUAAACUUAAGUAAACGGGUCCAUUGUUGCCUUAUGAUUAUAGAUGAUUGUUGAGUGAAGACCUUUCUCUUAUUCUCUUUUUGAAUGAGCAGGAUAGACUUUUAGCCAUUUUCUAGAUCAGCAUCCUAUUGUACUUCAUAUUGGUGGGAAUAACUUGGAAAUUCUAGCAAAGCAACUCAACUAGCAAAAGGUUACGGUAAUAACAAGCUCAACUUGAACUAUGUUUACUUUUACAAGAUAUGUUUGUUCAAUAUUAUAUUAUUUGAUACGAGGAAACUUAUGGGUGUUUACAUGCUUUCAAUAUUAUGAAUGGAUGU
rnacentral:lncRNA from 1 species